rnacentral:rRNA from 1 species
UACAGAGGUCCCAAGCGUUGUUCGGAUUCACUGGGCGUAAAGGGUGCGUAGGUGGCCGGGUAAGCUUGAUGUGAAAUCUCCGAGCUUAACUCGGAAACUGCAUUGAAUACUAUCCUGCUUGAGGGUUGGAGGGGGGACUGGAAUUCUCGGUGUAGCAGUGAAAUGCGUAGAUAUCGAGAGGAACACCAGUGGCGAAGGCGAGUCCCUGGACAACUCCUGACACUGAGGCACGAAAGCUAGGGGAGCAAACAGG